rnacentral:rRNA from 1 species
UACGUAGGGGGCAAGCGUUGUCCGGAAUCAUUGGGCGUAAAGCGCGUGUAGGCGGCUCGGUAAGUCCGCUCUGAAAGUCCGGGGCUCAACCCCGGGAGGCGGGUGGAUACUGUCGGGCUAGAAUCCGGAAGAGGUGAGUGGAAUUCCUGGUGUAGCGGUGAAAUGCGCAGAUAUCAGGAGGAACACCAAUGGCGAAGGCAGCUCGCUGGGACGGUACUGACGCUAAGGCGCGAAAGCGUGGGGAGCGAACAGG